AUAGCUCAAAGAACUGAAGAAGAUAAAAGAAUUAAGCGAAUGCUUAAAGCCAACCGCCAAUUCAUGACAAAUUUACUGACCUCCUCAAAGAACACGUCGAGUUCCUUCAACUCCGUACUAAGAUCAGCCAGUGGCGAGCAAAUCAAUUUGAUCCUGGAUGUGCUUCAUUUAGUGGCUGUCGGGGAAAAUACCAGUGAAAAAAAACACUUCGAAUUGUUUGUAAAAUCCAACAAAGCCCAUGAACGUUUGAAUAAUCCAUCAAGCCUAAACGCACUGAAAGACGCCUCCUUUUUGGAUAAAAUUCAAUUUUUAAGGGCAUUGAGAGUAUAUUUGACCAAAUUACUACAUCGGGUUUUCUUUCGGGCAUAAUGGAAGCCAAAAUGCUGAUUUCUUGUGCCGAAUACUUUCACUUGAAGAAGGUCGAGGAGGCUCAUCAGAAGUGUCAAAGGAAGAUUGAAGAUAAAAAAACAGUAACCAAGAUAUUUCUUGGGCUAAAGAAAGCGUGGAGAAGGAGCCGUUAGUUGAAGAAUCUUCUCAAACAGAGGAUCCAAUUAUCCCACCCAGGCAACAAGGCAGUAGUCUUUUUCAAAUCGAGCUUAGUGCUUCAACACUGAAUCAUCAGAACGCCGAUAGAGACAUUGACACUUCUGAUGAUGAUAACUAAUUUUGUUUUGAAAAAAGAAAAAAGACAUAAGAAUUUAGUGAGAUCGAAUACAUCUUGCAACAUUUAUUAAAUAUCAUCUUUUUCCAAUGGGAGUCCUACUUGUCAGUUGGUGAAGAAUAAUGGUUGACCGUCAGAUUCAAAUUAAUUCCGGAAGUGCCCCCCAGCAAAUUAGCGUUAGUCCUAAUUUCGGGAAAAUCAACCUGCCAGCCAGAAUAUACAUAAGUUAGAGCAUCUAAAUAAUGUUGGUAAAGAAAAAGAUAUCCAUCCGCUUGAUGCUCAAACUCUUUUUUAGCGGACCGUCAAUGAGUAGAAAGAUAGCAAAAAUCGAUAAAAGGAUGAAAAUUGUAUUAAUUGAUGCGACGCUAUUCCCUUUCCUCUUAGAGCAAACUUGCGUUGGAUAUGCUUCAGCAUCGCGAUGAAGUAUUUCGAGGUUCUUUUUCUCGAGCUAUUUAUUGUGGCCCAUCUGCUCACGACUUCGAAUUUACAUUGCUUUUGGUUCAAGCCUUCCCUUCCAUUGAACGUCAUGAUGUAAAAAGAUUACUCUUGCGACAUAUCGUUAUUUUGGGCGCAAUACCAGUUGGUGCGAUUCAUUUCAGCGGGUUGUGAGGCCAGAAGAUUUGGACCUAUGCGCAGAAAAAUCCAGUCAAAAGCUUUUGAUCUUAGACGAUUUUUGAAAUGAUGCCAUGGAAAGAAAAGAAUUCAAGGCAUUAUUCGAAAUGGGAUCACACCAUUACAACA